UCAACGAUCGUUGUGCUGCGUAAAGAGGUUUGGGGGUAAAGAAUUUGGCUAAAUGUCUUGAAGGAUUGGGUGAAUUUCUUGCGAAGGGCCAGUAACUAUGGCUUCACCUAAACCUGAUUCCAAAACCCUGACCUAGAUUUUGUGCUCAAUAUGCACUUACGUUCGGAUAUUCUCACACUUAGCACACGAUCGGUAGGACUUCGUUGGAGUGGGAAGAGCUGAAAGGCGAAACCUAGAAAUGUUAAAAUUAAGAGCAACUCAACAGAUCGGGAAGUAGCGCGGCAAACGAAGCGGAGUGAGUACGAGGCAUGCUCGCUCUUGAGUUGAUGAAUGGUGGGUAGGAGCAAAGAUACCCAGGCCUCAAUCGGCGCGUCAUCUCACUUCUCCACUGACGUCAUUUUGAUUAAUAAAGAAUAAAUAUGUUUGAGUCCCUUAAGGUUGGAGGUGUUUCAUUAAGGGAGCCCUGUUGAUUGCAGUCAGUCUGCCUGCAGCGA
rnacentral:lncRNA from 1 species